UACGUAGGGGGCAAGCGUUGUCCGGAUUUACUGGGCGUAAAGGGCGUGUAGGCGGUUUUUUAAGUCAGAUGUGAAAGUUCGGGGCUCAACCCCGGAAUUGCAUUUGAAACUGGAGAACUUGAGUACUGGAGAGGUAAGUGGAAUUCCUAGUGUAGCGGUGAAAUGCGUAGAUAUUAGGAGGAACACCAGUGGCGAAGGCGACUUACUGGACAGAUACUGACGCUGAGGCGCGAAAGCGUGGGGAGCGAACAGG
rnacentral:rRNA from 1 species